rnacentral:rRNA from 1 species
GACGAACGCUGGCGGCGUGCCUAAUACAUGCAAGUAGAACGCUGAAGAGAGGAGCUUGCUCUUCUUGGAUGAGUUGCGAACGGGUGAGUAACGCGUAGGUAACCUGCCUUGUAGCGGGGGAUAACUAUUGGAAACGAUAGCUAAUACCGCAUAACAAUGGAUGACACAUGUCAUUUAUUUGAAAGGGGCAAUUGCUCCACUACAAGAUGGACCUGCGUUGUAUUAGCUAGUAGGUGAGGUAACGGCUCACCUAGGCGACGAUACAUAGCCGACCUGAGAGGGUGAUCGGCCACACUGGGACUGAGACACGGCCCAGACUCCUACGGGAGGCAGCAGUAGGGAAUCUUCGGCAAUGGGGGCAACCCUGACCGAGCAACGCCGCGUGAGUGAAGAAGGUUUUCGGAUCGUAAAGCUCUGUUGUAAGUCAAGAACGAGUGUGAGAGUGGAAAGUUCACACUGUGACGGUAGCUUACCAGAAAGGGACGGCUAACUACGUGCCAGCAGCCGCGGUAAUACGUAGGUCCCGAGCGUUGUCCGGAUUUAUUGGGCGUAAAGCGAGCGCAGGCGGUUUGAUAAGUCUGAAGUUAAAGGCUGUGGCUCAACCAUAGUUCGCUUUGGAAACUGUCAAACUUGAGUGCAGAAGGGGAGAGUGGAAUUCCAUGUGUAGCGGUGAAAUGCGUAGAUAUAUGGAGGAACACAGGUGGCGAAAGCGGCUCUCUGGUCUGUAACUGACGCUGAGGCUCGAAAGCGUGGGGAGCGAACAGGAUUAGAUACCCUGGUAGUCCACGCCGUAAACGAUGAGUGCUAGGUGUUGGAUCCUUUCCGGGAUUCAGUGCCGCAGCUAACGCAUUAAGCACUCCGCCUGGGGAGUACGACCGCAAGGUUGAAACUCAAAGGAGUUGACGGGGGCCCGCACAAGCGGUGGAGCAUGUGGUUUAAUUCGAAGCAACGCGAAGAACCUUACCAGGUCUUGACAUCCCGAUGCUAUUUCUAGAGAUAGAAAGUUACUUCGGUACAUCGGUGACAGGUGGUGCAUGGUUGUCGUCAGCUCGUGUCGUGAGAUGUUGGGUUAAGUCCCGCAACGAGCGCAACCCCUAUUGUUAGUUGCCAUCAUUCAGUUGGGCACUCUAGCGAGACUGCCGGUAAUAAACCGGAGGAAGGUGGGGAUGACGUCAAAUCAUCAUGCCCCUUAUGACCUGGGCUACACACGUGCUACAAUGGUUGGUACAACGAGUUGCGAGUCGGUGACGGCAAGCUAAUCUCUUAAAGCCAAUCUCAGUUCGGAUUGUAGGCUGCAACUCGCCUACAUGAAGUCGGAAUCGCUAGUAAUCGCGGAUCAGCACGCCGCGGUGAAUACGUUCCCGGGCCU